rnacentral:tRNA from 1 species
UGGGGGAUGGUGUAACCGGUAACACGCCUGCCUUUGGAGCAGGAGACUCUAGGUUCGAGCCCUAGUCCCCCAGCCG